rnacentral:rRNA from 1 species
GGUAUAGACCCGAAACCCGGUGAUCUAGCCAUGGGCAGGUUGAAGGUUGGGUAACACUAACUGGAGGACCGAACCGACUAAUGUUGAAAAAUUAGCGGAUGACUUGUGGCUGGGGGUGAAAGGCCAAUCAAACCGGGAGAUAGCUGGUUCUCCCCGAAAGCUAUUUAGGUAGCGCCUCGUGAAUUCAUCUCCGGGGGUAGAGCACUGUUUCGGCAAGGGGGUCAUCCCGACUUACCAACCCGAUGCAAACUGCGAAUACCGGAGAAUGUUAUCACGGGAGACACACGGCGGGUGCUAACGUCCGUCGUGAAGAGGGAAACAACCCAGACCGCCAGCUAAGGUCCCAAAGUCAUGGUUAAGUGGGAAACGAUGUGGGAAGGCCCAGACAGCCAGGAUGUUGGCUUAGAAGCAGCCAUCAUUUAAAGAAAGCGUAAUAGCUCACUGGUCGAGUCGGCCUGCGCGGAAGAUGUAACGGGGCUAAACCAUGCACCGAAGCUGCGGCAGCGACGCUUA